CUCGUAGCUUGCUAUGAGAACAAUUAGUGGCAGACGGGUGAGUAAUGCAUAGGAAUCUACCUAGUAGUAUAGGAUAGCCACUAGAAAUGGUGGGUAAUACUGUAUAAUCCCUGCGGGGGAAAGAUUUAUCGCUACAUGAUGAGCCUAUGUUAGAUUAGCUAGUUGGUGGGGUAAUGGCCUACCAAGGCAGUGAUCUAUAGCUGGUCUGAGGGGAUGAUCAGCCACACUGGAACUGAGACACGGUCCAGACUCCUACGGGAGGCAGCAGUGGGGAAUAUUGGACAAUGGGCGCAAGCCUGAUCCAGCUAUGCCGCGUGAGUGAGGAAGGCCUUAGGGUUGUAAAACUCUUUCAGUGGGGAAGAUAAUGACGGUACCCACAGAAGAAGUCCCGGCAAACUCCGUGCCAGCAGCCGCGGUAAUACGGAGGGGGCAAGCGUUGUUCGGAAUUAUUGGGCGUAAAGGGCAUGUAGGUGGUUUGGUAAGUUAAAGGUGAAAUGCCAGGGCUUAACCCUGGAGCUGCUUUUAAUACUGCCAGACUGGAGUCCGGGAGA
rnacentral:rRNA from 1 species